UUCACACAUUUUCUUCCUGCACUCACUAUUUAUAUUUCACUUGCCAAUUUCCAAUUGUUCACGCACAACACAAAUUUCAUUGCCAAAAUUAAUUCGAAUCGAGUGAUGGUCAAACACCGCGCCCGCGACACACACCAACAACAACACCAGAAAAAUUGGCAAACACCAACUUAAGAGGAGUGAAACACGGAGAAGCCUUGCCAAGGAAUGUGCCCAUAAACGCAUGAUAAAAAUAAGAGGGGAAAAAUAGAAUAUUGUGCUACAUUACUGCUCCCCUUUGCUAGCAACCUGUUUCAGGCAAUGAACCCGCGUGCAACUACUCUCCAGCCAAACAACAAUUUUACCAGCAGUUAACAUAAGCAAAACACCUAACCUCAAAUACAUGUAUUCAAGCAACACACAUAAAUCUCACCGAUUGGCAAUUACUACACUGCAGUUAAGCGCAAACAUAUGUACGUCUACGUCACUGGUAUUGACCAACCAAUGGCGUGCGGCGGUUUCGCUUGCUGCCGCGCCGACACACACUCCAACGACCGAAUGAAAAAAUUCACCACCGGAAAUGCAUUUCACUCGGCAAAGGCAAACGAAAUACGAUUUCCACACAGCUAUGUCUUGCACUCAUGCGAUUUGUGCUGAUGCGCCAUGUCGAAGAGAGAGAGAGAGUAGGAUUGUAAGUAGUAUUUAGUGUUUAAGGAAGGCGUCACUCAUACGCUUGAUUGUAGGACAUAGCUUACGCUUUUGCCGUUUGAACUAUGUAUACAUCCAGUACGUGAAAUUUCGGAGCGCUUGGAGUAGUGGUGUUGGUGGUUGAGUGGUAGCCACACGCUGAGAUUGGUGUACGUGUGUGUGAAAGCGCGAGAGCGCCAAGUAGUAUGAGAGCGUAGUGGCCUUUAAAGCAACAACAACGCGAAUUUGCAUUGCGCUCAUUGGCUGCAAGCACCAUAAAGGAUGUGGAAGUAAUGCUUGGUGUCGACUACCAUGCUGGCCAAUCAGAGAGGUGCCGAACACAUAUGUAAGCGGUUACUUGUACGUUAUCCUUAGCUGCUUGCGGUGAAAUCAAAGUAAUGCUACGAAAGGUGUAUUGCGGAGUAGUUGUUGUAUUUAUUACAAUGGCUUGGAGGACAGCGUACACUUGCCAAAGUUAGCAAAAUAAUUUUUGGCUCUGUCGCUGUUUUCUGUAAAUAUUUCAGCCAAACUAGUAUAACGUUUACCAAGAUUCUGUAGAAAGAUAUGAUUGUUAAUCAAAAUGUAUUAUGUUUCUUGCGAUUUACAUGAAAUUAAAUUUAUAUAUUCACUUAGUCAGGCUUGUAUAUAGUGCAUAGUAUAUAAAGUUAUGUAAACAUUUGUAAUUAGCGUAUUGUCUCUAACUCUAACUUUAGUUAUUUGCAGUUCUAGCCCUUUAAGAAGCUUGUACGUCUUAUUGAUAGUCACCUGGCCGCGGUAACGGUGUUGCGUGGAAAACAACAUCGCGUCCACUCACCGUCCGCAUUUUUUAUUUAAGAUUUAUAUUUUUAAUUUAAAUUUCAUCCAAUAAUCACAUAAACAUACAUUUAAGAUUAUGACAGAAACAAAAUCAAAUAAUACUCACAUACUCAAGUAAAUUAUUACUGUCAUAUACUCGUAAAUACUUAAUUACUCAUAUUACGUAAAUUGUAGUAAAUAGUUUUACGUAACCAACGUAAUAAUGUUCAGAAGAAUGUGGAGAAUAUUGAAAUUGAAUAAAGGUUGAAAAAACUGUAAAGCUCUCGACAGCGGAACAGCA